rnacentral:snRNA from 1 species
AUAUUUACAUGGGAGAGGUCAAUCAAUGAUCAAUAAGGACGAUGGCCUAGAGAGGCCACCUCCAUUGCACUUGGGAGGGUAUUUUUUCUAGCAUUUCCCACUAAGUAGAGUGCAUGUCAUAAUUUGUGGUAGCGAAGGCUUUUU